GGUAUGGUUCGUAUGCUAGCUCUGUGUUUGUCUCUCUAUAUGUGUACGUGUGUGUGUGUGACUGUGCUUGUGCUCGUACAUAUAUGCCUGUGCUUGUAUGCGUGUAUGGGUAGGUUGGCAGUUUUGCUGCACGGCUCACUCGCGCGCAAUGAGCGCUUUUGCUGUUUUAAUUUUUGCCUGAAAUACAUUUUGAGCUAAUUUCGUAUUGGUAGUUUUGUUUAUACCGUCGGUUGUGUUGGCGUCACAUUUUGUAUGCGAAAGCAAGCGCAGCACGUAGUUAACAAAUUUUAAUCAAAUAGCCAAAUACGCUUAGACAAUACCUAUAGAAAAUUUCUUUUAACGUACAUGCGUGUAUAUAUAUAUAUUGAAUGGCGCAAAAGCGAAAAGCAAUGCGAAUGCAGCAGUUGUGAAUCAAUCAAAUCCAAGCAAAGCAACAGCAGCAACAGCAACAGCAACAACGUCGCAUCAAUUCAGCAACUCUAACGGCAGCUUCAUGUCAGCGCAACAACAACAACUGCAACAACAGCAUUAGACAUUCAACAAACAAAACCAACAAA